UACGUAGGGCGCAAGCGUUGUCCGGAAUCACUGGGCGUAAAGCGCACGUAGGCGGAUUGUUAAGUCAGGGGUGAAAUCCUGGAGCUCAACUCCAGAACUGCCUUUGAUACUGAAGAUCUUGAGUCCGGGAGAGGUGAGUGGAACUGCGAGUGUAGAGGUGAAAUUCGUAGAUAUUCGCAAGAACACCAGUGGCGAAGGCGGCUCACUGGCCCGGUACUGACGCUGAGGCACGAAAGCGUGGGGAGCAAACAGG
rnacentral:rRNA from 1 species